AGCGAACGUUUGCGGCGGGCUUAACACAUGCAAGUCGAACGAGAAUCCCUUCGGGGAGGAAAGUGGCGCACGGGUGCGUAACACGUGGAUAACCUACCCAAUGGUUUGGGACAACAGCGGGAAACUGCUGCUAAUACCAGAUGUGUCGCAGAUGCUUUCAGGCGUUUGCGAGAAAGGCCCGCAAGGGUCGCCAACGGACGGGUCCGCGUCCCAUCAGCUAGUUGGUGAGGUAAUGGCUCACCAAGGCGAAGACGGGUAGCUGGUCUGAGAGGAUGAUCAGCCACACUGGAACUGAGACACGGUCCAGACUCCUACGGGUGGCAG
rnacentral:rRNA from 1 species